rnacentral:lncRNA from 1 species
UCAACCGAAUUUUUAAAUUAAAUAUUGAUAAAUAUGUUGAACGCCCAACUUUUAUAUUGAGUAUUUUAUUUAUAAAUAAACUUUUGGUAACCAAGUCGAGACUUAAAUUUAGUUUAUUCUUAUUAUAAUAAACUUUCUCCAAAACGUGAAUAAACAUUAAGGUACAUUUUUAGUUCAUUUAUUGUAGAAAACACAAAGAGAUUCGGAUACUGUAAAACCCAACCUACAAGCUUUGCUAUCUGUUAGAGUCCAUUUGAUAAGUCGACCUGCG